rnacentral:misc_RNA from 1 species
UCCAUCGUGAGGUGGAAUCUGAAGGAAGCCGGAGGCAAAGUCCUGGCUCGAUGCACAAGAACCACAUAUUAGGCUGACUUGAGGCGGAUGGGUUUGCCUAACAAAACAAAGUCCAACACUGCAGUGGCCAAGCAUUUUUGUAACACUUUAAUCUAAUAUUUUGGAU